AGCAGUAGGUCGCAUGACCCGGUCGCGCGUUGUAGUCGCUAAGAAUCGAAAGCUUCCUUAACGCGCAAUUCGCCACCAAAGAUCAUAAUUUAAUAAUUUUGUUUGAUUUAGUUGCCCGGCCACUUCGGCCGCAGUAACGUGCUUUAUUUCAUUAGAUAAGUUUUAAAAAAGUUCCUUAUAAUGAGCCUGGAGCCGCUGACAAGUUAAAACUUGUCUUGCAAUGAAUAAAACCGCCAAGUAAAAGUUUGGAUGGAUUUGGACAAAGCAAAAGUAAUCGAUAAUCAUCUAAUGACACCGAUAAGCUCAAGUGGACAUCAUAUCACUGGCAAAUGUGUAAGGAAUAUCAUUUAUACUGGUGUAUUGACUGUGAAAAGUAUACAAGAUAUUACAAGUGAAAAUCAAAAAAUGUAUUUGUCCAGAACAUCAGAGAAUUUAUAAGAACUUAGUACUUAAUGUUCUGUGUAAAGGAAGAUGAGACAGUGACAGAAAAUCUUAUAAUAUUAAAAAGAAAAAAAUAUUAUGAUGAAGGCCAAGACAGUUAUAAGAACGAGUACCAUAAGAAAUUCGCUAUUUUUUAUUACAUUAUCUACGAUGAUAUGUUGUUUGUGGAUGACAUGUGUUCCCGAAAAUGUCACUGCCCACUCAAAGAAUCUCAAUCAUUUUAGAAAAACGCGAAACCUACCGGAUUAUCUUCAGGAAAUAAGACUUCUUCUUGAGCCGAAAAUUGCACCGUGCAAAGAUAAUUUGCCAAUUUUGGUUAUGGUAACCACUGCGCCUUCUCACACGGAGCAGAGAUCUGCGAUCAGAAAUACAUGGGCUACUCGGCUGCCUACUUUGUUUAUAUUGGGCUUGAAUGGUGAGGAUGUGCAGCAUCUGAAAUAUUAUUAAAAAUCACAUGGAACUGUUGAAAAUGUUCUUAGACAGGCACACCCAAGAAAAACCUCUCCCAGAGAUGAUACGCUAAUCGUUCCUGUUACUAAAGAAGACCAAAUUAAACCAGAUUAAAAAUGAAGUUUUUUCGCCUGAUGGCACGAUCAUCUCGUCAAGACUGAUACGCCGAAGAUUAUUCGAAGCUAAAUUGAAAGAAUCUCUCAAAAGGAACCACUUACCAAGCAACACGGAGUGAUGAUUAUUAUUCGCUAAAGAAAUAUAUUAUUUGUCGGAACGAGAAUGGAAAAAAUAGAUACAGUAAAUUCCUAUGGAAUGCGCUAAGUAAGACGUGAUGUAAACAAAGAUUUUAAUUAUAAAUACACAAGGAGUAUAGUCAAGCACGGUGCGGUAACAUUAAAGUUUAUGGGUCUUUUUCCGGAUGUGGAGUUGGUAAGAAUGACAGACAUGAAGAUGAUUUAAUUGUGUACGAAUUCAAAGACCAUUACCAGAAUCUCACGUUAAAGAUGGCGCUCAUGCUGAAGUGGGCAUCGGAGAAAUGCUCAUCAGUUAAUUAUUUACUCAAAACCGAUGAUGAUAUUUUAUUAAACCCUUGGCAGUUAGAAAGAAUUGUUCAAAACAGGCCAGACGCUGAUCUCAUUGGUUAUAGAAUGGUGAAUGCAGAGCUGGAUCGUCAUGAGAGCAGGAAGUGGUAUUUACCUAGUUGGUUGUACCCUGAGGAGUUUGUGCCGGAAUAUCUUUCUGGAAACGCGUAUCUUAUUAAUGGAAAACACCUCAAGGCAAUGUUUUAUGCGGCGUAUGAAGUCCCACUUAUUAAUAUUGAAGAUAUUUACAUUACAUAUUUAGUGGCAAGACGUAAACUUGGUUUAAAUUUGACCCACGAACCAAAAUUGUAUGGAUUCAGGCCUUGGCUACCCCUAGUAAGCUUUUAUUGGGAAUUGGCAUCAGUUCACAGCUUCACACCAACAGAACUUUUGGCAUGGUGGUCAGAGCUCUUAGCUAUGAGCAAAAAUGUCAAAUGAAUUAAGAAUAUGGUUUAAGUUGGCGAUAGACGGCAAUACGAAUUACUUAUAAUAUAUCAUCACAGCUUGAUAGCAAUAGCAAUGCUUGGUGGUAGAAACUCACAGAUAUGGGUAAAAUAUCAAUUGAAAAAAAAUAAACAAAAUGAAUGACGCGAGACGAAACUUUGCGUUCGAUUGUCAUUGCUCAAUCGGACGUUAUGACGUAUCGUGUCGCGUGUCAACUGUCAACGCGUAUUGGACUAAAGAUGCUGUUGACCAAUCAGAACGGAACGCACAAUUGUUUUUCCUCUGUUAUACGUCUUGCGCUUUAUAUUCUCACCGUCCAAGCUAAAUCUAGGCCUUUUAAAUCAGUUCACUGUUAUCAGCAGGAGGUGGCAAUUAUAAAAAAAUGCGAAAGAGGUAUCCGUUCGCACACAGCUUAAACAGAUGGUAAUCUGUGAUAGCCUACCCUAAUGACAAUUAGCAAGAUUGUUACGAAAUCUCGUGAAUGAUGUAUUUACGGUGAUAAAUUUUGCGGGCUAUAUAAUUCCUCAAAACUUCUUAGCUAUAAGCAAAAGUGUGUAUAUUUGUAUUAAUUUACUCAUAAAAU